rnacentral:rRNA from 1 species
AUUGAACGCUGGCGGCAUGCCUUACACAUGCAAGUCGAACGGCAGCACGGGUGCUUGCCCCUGGUGGCGAGUGGCGAACGGGUGAGUAAUACAUCGGCACAUGUCCUGUAGUGGGGGAUAGCCCGGCGAAAGCCGGAUUAAUACCGCAUACGAUCUACGGAUGAAAGCGGGGGACCUUCGGGCCUCGCGCUAUCGGGUUGGCCGAUGGCUGAUUAGCUAGUUGGUGGGGUAAAGGCCUACCAAGGCGACGAUCAGUAGCUGGUCUGAGAGGACGACCAGCCACACUGGGACUGAGACACGGCCCAGACUCCUACGGGAGGCAGCAGUGGGGAAUUUUGGACAAUGGGCGAAAGCCUGAUCCAGCAAUGCCGCGUGUGUGAAGAAGGCCUUCGGGUUGUAAAGCACUUUUGUCCGGAAAGAAAUCCUUGGCCCUAAUACGGUCGGGGGAUGACGGUACCGGAAGAAUAAGCACCGGCUAACUACGUG